CGACCAGGCCGGGCCCCUCUGGCAGCGCGUUGCCGCGCUGUGAUGUCGGACUGGAUCU
rfam:Rhodovulum sp. PH10 contig115, whole genome shotgun sequence.